rnacentral:rRNA from 1 species
GACAGAGGGUGCAAACGUUGCUCGGAAUUACUGGGCGUAAAGCGCGUGUAGGCGGUUCCGCAAGUCAGGUGUGAAAGCCCAGGGCUUAACCCUGGAAGUGCACUUGAUACUACGGAGCUUGAGUACUGAAGAGGAGAGUGGAACUGCGAGUGUAGAGGUGAAAUUCGUAGAUAUUCGCAAGAACACCAGUGGCGAAGGCGGCUCACUGGCCCAUUACUGACGCUGAGGCACGAAAGCGUGGGGAGCAAACAGG